rnacentral:rRNA from 1 species
UCAGCUCGUGUCGUGAGACGUCCGCUUAAGUGCGGUAACGAGCGCAACCCCUGCCGUGUGUACUUUUUCUACACGGGACCGCUUUACAGCAAGUAGAGAGGAAGGAGGGGACGACGUCAAGUCAGCAUGGCACUUACGUCCAGGGCUACACACAUCCUACAAUGGCAAGCAAUAACGGGUCGCGACAGGGUAACCUUGAGCCAAUCCUUCAAACCUUGCCUCAGUUCAGAUUGAGGGCUGCAAUUCGCCCUCAUGAAGUCGGAAUUGGUAGUAAUCGCAGGUCAGCAGACUGCGGUGAAUACGUUCUCGCUCCUU